rnacentral:rRNA from 1 species
GGCGGCUACUGCUAUCAGGUUUCGACUAAGCCAUGCGAGUCAAGGGGUCGUAAGACACCGGCGUACUGCUCAGUAACACGCGGACAAUCUACCCCCAGGUGGGGGAUAACCUCGGGAAACUGAGGCUAAUACCCCAUAGUUGUCAUGUGCUGGAAUGCUUUGACGAUGAAAGAAUUUCGCCUGAGGAUGAGUCUGCGGCCUAUCAGGUAGUAUGUGGUGUAAAGGACCACAUAGCCUAAGACGGGUACGGGCCUUGAAAGAGGGAGCCCGGAGAUGGACUCUGAGACACUAGUCCAGGCCCUACGGGGCGCAGCAGGCGCGAAAACUGUGCAAUGCGCGCAAGCGCGACACGGGAAGCCUGAGUGCCUUAACUAUGUUAAGGCUUUUCUUGAUCCUAAAAAGCUCAAGGAAUAAGAGCUGGGUAAGACGGGUGCCAGCCGCCGCGGUAACACCCGCGGCUCGAGUGGUAGUCACUUUUAUUGAGCCUAAAGCGUUUGUAGCCGGAUUUGUAAAUCUCUAGGAAAAUACUUAUGCUUAACUGAAGAAAUUUUGGAGAGACUGCAAAUCUAGGGACCGGGUGAGGUUGAAUGUACUUCUGGGGUAGGGGUAAAAUCCUGUAAUCCUGGAAGGACGACCGGUGGCGAAGGCGUUCAACUAGAACGGAUCCGACGGUGAGGAACGAAGGCUAGGGGAGCAAACCGGAUUAGAUACCCGGGUAGUCCUAGCUGUAAACACUGCCCACUUGGUGUUGCAUCUCCGGUAAGGGGGUGCAGUGCCGUAGCGAAGGUGUUAAGUGGGCCGCUUGGGGAGUAUGGUCGCAAGGCUGAAACUUAAAGGAAUUGGCGGGGGAGCACCGCAACGGGAGGAGCGUGCGGUUUAAUUGGAUUCAACGCCGGAAAACUCACCGGAGGCGACCUGUGUAUGAGAGUCAACCUGAUGAAUUUACUCGAUAGCAGGAGAGGUGGUGCAUGGCCGUCGUCAGCUCGUACCGUAGGGCGUUCACUUAAGUGUGAUAACGAGCGAGACCCCCAUCUUCAAUUGCUAAGCUAACCGUGAGGUUGGUAGAACUUUGAAGGGACCGCCAGUGCAGAACUGGAGGAAGGAGGGG